rnacentral:rRNA from 1 species
GAUGAACGCUGGCGGCGUGCCUAAUACAUGCAAGUCGAGCGAACAGAUGAGGAGCUUGCUCCUCUGACGUUAGCGGCGGACGGGUGAGUAACACGUGGAUAACCUACCUAUAAGACUGGGAUAACUUCGGGAAACCGGAGCUAAUACCGGAUAAUAUAUUGAACCGCAUGGUUCAAUAGUGAAAGACGGUUUUGCUGUCACUUAUAGAUGGAUCCGCGCCGCAUUAGCUAGUUGGUAAGGUAACGGCUUACCAAGGCAACGAUGCGUAGCCGACCUGAGAGGGGGAUCGGACACACUGGAACUGAGACACGGUCCAGACUCCUACGGGAGGCAGCAGUAGGGAAUCUUCCGCAAUGGGCGAAAGCCUGACGGAGCAACGCCGCGUGAGUGAUGAAGGUCGUCGGAUCGUAAAACUCUGUUAUUAGGGAAGAACAAAUGUGUAAGUAACUAUGCACGUCUUGACGGUACCUAAUCAGAAAGCCACGGCUAACUACGUG